UAAAAGUGUCGUCAAUAGACGGACAGUGCUGGCUGGAUAUUAGACGACCUGACCUGUAUGAGCAAGUAAGGCAUUUACCUGGAUUGCGAAUACGGGCAGCGAUGUCGAGAGUGCGUAGUAUGGAGACAUCGACUUUUA
rnacentral:sRNA from 1 species